ensembl:misc_RNA 7SK 7SK RNA
GCAUUGAGUAAGAUCUGACUAUGGCACCAGCAAUCCUAUUGAUCUCUAGGUUGAUUGGGCUGAUCUGGCUGGCUGGGUGAGUGUCCUCUUCCUUCCUUCUCCACUUUGUUUAUAUUGUUCCUGAAGAUGCAUUCUGAGUUGAAGAAGGCAACCUUCUCCAAUAGAGGAGGACCCAUCUUUCAUGAAGACUGUAUGAGUAGCUGUGUUUUCCUGACAGAACCCCAAAAAAACUCUAUAUUCACUCUUUUUUAUUGCUUUUAUUAAAUUAUAAGGACAUAGGCUUACCAUAUUAAUAAUGUGGAGAUGAGACAAAAACAACCUUGUGAGUCUUGAUAA